UAAUGCUCCAUAGUGGAUAUGUCCUGGAAUGGUAUAUCCUCGAAAGAUCCGUCGCCUUAGGAUGGGACUGCGUCCGAUUAGGUUGUUGGCGGGGUAACGGCCCACCAAGCCAUUGAUCGGUACGGGUUGUGGGAGCAAGAUCCCGGAGAUGGAUUCUGAGACAUGAAUCCAGGCCCUACGGGGCGCAGCAGGCGCGCAAACUUUACAAUGCGAGCAAUCGUGAUAAGGAAACCCUGAGUGCCUGUCGAUGCAGGCUGUUCAUAUAUCUAAAUCAUAUGUGAAGAAAGGGCAGGGCAAGACCGGUGCCAGCCGCCGCGGUAAUACCGGCUGCUCGAGUGAUGGCCACUAUUACUGGGUUUAAAGCGUCCGUAGCUUGACUGUUAGGUCUCUUGGGAAAUCUUCACGCUCAACGUGAAGGCGUCUAAGAGAUACCGGCAGUCUUGGAACUGGGAAAGGUAAAACCGUACUUCGGGGGUAGGAGUGAAAUCUUGUAAUCCUCGAGGGACGACCUAUGGCGAAGGCAAUUUACCAAAACAGCUUCGACAGUGAGGGACGAAAGCUGGGGGAACAAACGGGAUUAAUACCCCGGUAGUCCCAGCCGUAAACAAUGUGCGUUAGGUGU
rnacentral:rRNA from 1 species